AUGUCUCAUACAGGUAUGUGUCCCUGUUUCCCAGAGGAAAUAAGAAAGAACUCUAUUCAAUAUUUAAAAAAAAAAAAAAAGAAUUUUGAAGGGAAAAUUAUUGGCAUUAUAAUUUCAAAUCUUAUCUCCACAAUUCCUAUGUCAACAGAAAAGGUGGAUAUGACUGAGGAUAACCACUCGUUGACAACACAGUUUAUUCUGAUAGGAUUUACAAAUCAUCCAGAGCUGAAGACCCUUCUGUUUCAGGUGUUCUUUACCAUCUAUCUGAUCACCAUGGUGGGGAAUCUUGGACUGGUGGCAUUGAUAGUUACAGAGCAUCGUCUUCACACACCAAUGUACAUCUUCUUGGGUAACCUUGCACUGAUGGAUUCCUUUUGUUCCAGUGCCAUUACCCCGAAGAUACUAGAGAACCUUUUUUCUAAAGACAGAAUGAUUUCCCUCUAUGAAUGCAUGGCACAAUUUUAUUGUCUCUGCCUUGCUGAAACUACAGAUUGCUUUCUCCUGGCAGCAAUGGCCUAUGAUCGCUAUGUGGCCAUCUGCAAACCACUGCAGUACCACACUAUGAUGUCAAAGAAACUCUGCAUUCAGAUGACCACAGGGGCCUACAUAGCUGGAAACAUUCAUCCCACAAUUCAUGUAGGGUUUCUGUUUAGGUUAACUUUCUGUAAGUCUCACCAAAUCAAUCACUUUUUGUGUGAUGUCCUUCCAUUAUACAGACACUCUUGUGUGGAUCCUUAUAUCAAUGAAUUGAUGAUAUUCAUCUUUGCAGGGUCAGUUUUAGUCUUCACUAUUGCCACAGUAAUAAUCUCUUACCUUUUUAUUCUUUUCACAAUUUUCAAGAUGAAGUCCAAAGAGGGAAAAGGCAAAGCCUUAUCUACUUGUGCAUCCCACUUUGUCUCUGUCUCAAUAUUCUAUGGUUCCCUUCUUUUCAUGUAUGUUCGACCAAAUUCAGUUAAUGACGAAGAUAAAGAUAUACCUGUUGCUAUUUUUUAUACUCUGGUGAUUCCCUUGUUAAACCCAUUUAUUUAUAGCCUAAGAAAUAAGGAAGUCAUAAAUGCUAUGAAAAAAAUUAUGAAGAAUUUAUAA
rnacentral:lncRNA from 1 species